UAUAUUAAUUAGUUGUCAAUUUAGGUGGAGAUUACAAUGCAACGCUUCACUUCUUCUUCUAUCUACCAGUUUCUAUGAGAAUUAUCUCCAGAAUUUUAAUCUUCCCAAAUACACCGUUUCAAAUAUAUUUCAUUACCGAAAUUCAAGCCUUUUAAUUUUGGCUAAUUAAUAUUAUGGCAACGGCUAAAAUAUUAUACAAGAUAAAUAUCAGCGAAAAUAAUUCAUCUAUCACCAAAUAUUCAACUCUCAUCUUCUUCUUAUUAUUGGUUGUUUAUGAUGAAUUUCAUGGCAUCAUUGACAAAUUGAUCCUUUUAUUUGGUUACCGAUUAGGCAAAGGUUAUCAAUCAGUUAAAUUGAGUAUUUUAGAGUUGUGGAAAUUUGAGAUUGCUGCCAAUUACAUAUAUGCUCACUUCGGAUUCUACAAUUUUACAUGAUUUUGCAUCAAAAAAUGCUAGAAGAAAUCGGUUGUUUUGAUUUUUUAGGAGGGAGAAAUUUAUAAAAAUAUUAUGCAAAGUCAUGAUUGUGUAUCGAGAAUUACUAUUUAAAUAAUAUAAGUUAUUUUCAUUGUGUUUUUAUUU